rnacentral:tRNA from 4 species
GCCGGAAUAGCUCAGUUGGUAGAGCAAAGGACUGAAAAUCC